GCACGUCGGUCGGUCUCAUCCUCUACAGCCAUUGAGCGAGCUCUGCUCGGCCCUCUCCUGUGCGCACGUUGCCUUGCUUCUUCCCUAGACGCUCGCCAUCGCUAAUGCUGGGCAUUCCCUCUCUGUUGUCAACCCCUGGACUCCAACCUCGCUAGCCCUUGCGUCAACGCCGGCGAGCUCGCUUCGAGCUCCAUCCAUGGCCACGAGUCCACCUCCGCCGAGCUGCCAUGGUGCGCAGGGCAUCCUCUUCUCAACCUCCUCCCUGCGGCGCGCAACAUUGCACUUCCACUGGCAGCGCGCCCUCCCUGUGAUGGACACGUUGUUCCCUUCCUCAGAACUGCUAGUCUUCGUCCAGGUGUGCCAGCCACCGUGCACAUAGGGGUCAGCCUUGUAAUACCCAAAAUUAGUAUAAAAAAAGAUAACAG
rnacentral:lncRNA from 7 species